AGGGAGAGAGUUUUGGCGUCGGCCGCCCUUGGGUGCUGGGCCCCAACAGUGGGCCGCCGCCCGCCUGAGCAGUGUCGGGUCCGGCCCCGCUUGGCCAGGCCUGCACCCGGCCUGCUGGUCUCCGGGUCUCCCCACCCCGGCACCCUCCGAAUGUGGAUGCCCCAAAGCAGUGAGCGCCCCUGUGGGCAAGGGUCAGCACGGAUGCGAGAGUCCCUGGUUGCUGUGGGUGCAUGCUUAAGGAGCAGGUGGGGGAAAGGAGUGAUGAGAGAGUCACCCUCCCCUUGGCGACAUUAGCUCAGCUGCCCAGAAAGCCUGGGCAAGCUGCUUGGGAGUCUGUGGCCUUGGCAGACUAGCUCCCCUUCAUCACAGAGCCGCAGGGAGGGGACAGAUGCGCCAGCAGACGUGCUUGAGCAGAGCCUGCCCAGGGUGAGUACAGGGUGGCCAUGCAGGCGACUCGGGCCAG
rnacentral:lncRNA from 1 species